rnacentral:rRNA from 1 species
UUCCAGACUCCUACGGGAGGCAGCAGUGGGGAAUAUUGCACAAUGGGGGGAACCCUGAUGCAGCGACGCCGCGUGGGUGAAGGAGCACCUCGGUGCGUAAAGCCCUAUCGGCAGGGAAGAAACAGACGGUACCUGACUAAGAAGCCCCGGCUAACUACGUGCCAGCAGCCGCGGUAAUACGUGGGGGGCAAGCGUUAUCCGGAUUUACUGGGGGUAAAGGGGGCGCAGACGGCGAUGCAAGCCAGGAGUGAAAGCCCGGGGCCCAACCCCGGGACUGCUCUUGGAACUGCGUGGCUAGAGUGCAGGAGGGGCAGGCGGAAUUCCUGGUGUAGCGGUGAAAUGCGUAGAUAUCAGGAGGAACACCGGUGGCGAAGGCGGCCUGCUGGACUGCAACUGACGUUGAGGCCCGAAAGCGUGGGGAGCAAACAGGAUUAGAUACCCGCGUAG